AGGGCCCGCCGGGGAAGCGGGGCAUGCAGGGCGUGGCUGGCGCGACGGCCCCCCGGUCACCCGGGCAGAGAGGGGCCGGCGGGGGAGAAAGGGCUCCAGGGCACAGCUGGCGCCGUGGGACCCGUUGGCUACCCAGGCCCCCGUGGGGUCAAGGGGGCCUUUGGAGCCAGGGGCCUGAAGGGAAG